rnacentral:lncRNA from 1 species
GCUCCCAGGGAGCUCUAACCCUAAUUUCAACAAAUGCACCAAAUUGAAGCUCAAAUCAAGGCCCAAAUCAAUGCAUGAACAUGAAUAAACGAUCACCAAGUCAAGGGGAUCGUAAGUUUGACGCUUAACGAGCUAGGUGGAGUCUUGGGAAAGAAGCGGGUCAAACGGAUCGAAUGCGCGGAAAAAGAGCAAAAUCGGAUGCAAGGUAAACUUUAGUAAGCUUACGGAUGAAGAUCAAGCUCGUUGAAGAACCGAACACAAUCAAGAUACAAGCUUCCGCACGGCGUUUCGUUGUCAUUCUAAACGAGAACUUAUUUAUUCUAUGUUGUAAACUUUAAGUUGCAAAAGAUUAAAAUUACUCGUAUU